GGGGUGAGAAAAGGGUGAAUAGAAGGGAGGCGGAGCCAGAGAGGCUCUUAAUAAUGGAGGGGGGCAUAAAGAGGGUGUGGCGAGGGCGAGCGCGAGCGCGCUGCAAACGGGACGGGGAAUAGGUUGCGUCGUAUCUCGCCUCCCCUCCCCUCCCCUCCCCGACGGAUGAUAAUGUGCUGCUUGCUGGGCACUUUUGUCUUUUUUAUUCCCGGGUCUGUUAAGAAGAAGGGGGAAUGAGCCGGAAUGGGGGAAAGAGACGCAUCCGCCAUGUUGCCUUUAUUGGAAUAGGACAGGAUAAGGGGCAUUGGGGCCGAUGCUCCUCGCCGUCUUGCCCUUCGAUUAAUCACCCAGGGGCCCUUUCAAGAUUUGAACGCCUUCCCGAUUAAAACUGUGCGUGUGAAGGAGUGGGCCUCGGCGUCUCAACCAUUAUCGUACUUUUCCGGGUCACCUUUGCCCCUCAGAGCAUGCCGUUCCCUACCCUCAGGGUCUGCUAAAAGCUUACCAAGGCAGCUUGCGCUUUUCGCAGAGAUCAGCCGCGCUGCACUGAAGCGGGGGGAAAGGUGGAAAAAAGAAAAAGCCCAAUCUUUGGGCUUGGGAGUGUGUGUGACAGAAUAAGGAGCGUUUGAGAAACUUAAAUUUAUGUCCCACAUUUACAUUGAGUUAGACGUAUAGGCUGCCAAGUGAAGAGGGAACCACUUCCUUUUAACUCCCAGUUGGAACAGAAAGGAGAACGAGAAAAAAGGUUCAAAGAAUCAAGAGUUUGGAAGGGACCCUAGAAGUCAUCCAGACCAAUCCCUACACAGUGCAGGAUCUGUUAAAGCAUCUCUAACAAUUCAGCCUGUGUUUUAAGACCUCUAAAAAAUGUACACAUUUGGGACUAUGCACCACAAGCCAAAUUUGGAGAAGUUGUAGAGUCUGGAAAGAAAUCAAGGGCAUAGAUUCCUGUUAUUCUAACUAGCACAACACCAAAAGGCAGGAUAGUAAUUUUCCAUUCAGUUCAGUCCUUAUAACUUCAGAAAAUGUAGCAAGUUGACUUUUUAUUUUGGUAUAUUUUACUCUGAACUUGCUCUGUGGAUGUUUUUACCUUUUACUUAGCGUUCCUUGAUAAAGUGAGCAAUUCUGCAAUGGUUUGCCUAAACUAGAAUUGAGCCAAAUGCUGUAUUUAUCUAUUUGUUACUGCAGUGUAAUGUUUGUGCUUUGCAUUUGACCUCUUCUUAACCAAUUAGGUCAGAGGCCUGGCUUUGCUAUUGUGUAUUGGAAAGAAGACAAUUUUAGCUAAUGUGGUUACAGUUGCUAUGAAAGGGAGGCUUCAAGCUAAUGGUUUUAAAAAGACUAGAAGGAGCAGCUGCCCUUUGUUUACAUAGAUACCAAGCAGGCAGGUAGUGUUAAAGAAAAAGCCAUUUGGAUUGGUCCAGGGAUCAAAAACUAAAUAGUGUUUGGAAGGUCUAUGAAGACCUGGAUUUGUCAGAACUUCCAAACGGGGGUUUGGGUUGGGUUUUUCAGAGAAUAGAUGGAGGUUGUCAGUUGUUAAAGGGAGUAGAAGAUGUGAUGGAAGAGUGAGGUGCCCAAUUUGAAAGAAUGUAGAGGAGUCGUUUGUGGCUUCAAGGAACAAGAAACUGUAUUAUGGGAUUGGAUUAAAGUUUCCAACAGACUGCAAAACGUAGCAUCAAAAGGUUUUAGGUCUAAGCAUAGGGAUCUAAUGAUCAAUAAUCUGUAUAUGACUCUGGAAGUCUCUGUUAAAGUUGUGAGCACAGUGUUAAUUAAACGUACUUAAAGUACAUUUCAAUAACCUUAAUGUACUAUAUGAAAAGUGACAUUUCAUGUCAUUGUGCCAUCACAAAAGGAAAUUAGGCAUUGAGAUUCUAAGUUUCAAAAGACUUGAUUUAGUGGCAUCAUUUAGGCUGCAUUGCUUAAAUGUGACUUCAGUUUGAGACUGUAUCUUUUAAAACAUGGCAUUUCAGUUCCAAGGAAGCCACCUUCAAAAUUAAAAAAAGAAAAGAAAAAAGGAAGGGAACAUUGGUAGAAUAUGUACAUUGUUCCAUCACAAUUUUUAUGAAUCUGGAUGUAACCAUAGGAUAAGUCCAUCUCCUAAGCUAUGGUUGGGCAUGCUUUUUCUAUCCAGGGCUUUUACUUUCCUUGUUUUUAUUUUGGGGCUUCAAAAGUAAAAUGUUGACAACAGUGAAGUGUGUAGGACUGACAAUCCUUGGAUUCUUAAAACUUGGGUUUUUUUAAAAAAAGAAAACAACAAUAUAGGUCUGUUAAUAUUCUCAGAGGCUUACUACAGCUAUUUUAAGCCUUAUGUGGUAAACAUAAGAGAAGACUCACACUGCCUAAAACAGCUCUGUUGCCUCCAGAUUUCACCAAUGCAAUGUUUGAGAUCCUUGAUGCAUGACUAAAUUUAUCCACAUAUACACUUACUGGCUACUAGGUGUAAUAGAUGUAGAUAAAGUUGGUGCACC